GGCGGCAGGCUUAACACAUGCAAGUCGAACGAUAUAGUGGCAGACGGGUGAGUAACGCGUGGAAACGUGCCUUUCACUACGGAAUAGCUUUUGGAAACGAAAGGUAAUACCGUAUACGCCCUCCGGGGGAAAGAUUUAUCGGUGAAAGAUCGGUCCGCGUUAGAUUAGCUAGUUGGUGAGGUAACGGCUCACCAAGGCUACGAUCUAUAGCUGGUCUGAGAGGAUGAUCAGCCACACUGGGACUGAGACACGGCCCAGACUCCUACGGGAGGCAGCAGUGGGGAAUAUUGCACAAUGGGCGCAAGCCUGAUGCAGCCAUGCCGCGUGAAUGAUGAAGGCCUUAGGGUUGUAAAAUUCUUUCGCCAGGGAUGAUAAUGACAGUACCUGGUAAAGAAGCCCCGGCUAACUUCGUGCCAGCAGCCGCGGUAAUACGAAGGGGGCUAGCGUUGUUCGGAAUUACUGGGCGUAAAGCGCACGUAGGCGGACUUUUAAGUCAGAUGUGAAAUCCCAAGGCUCAACCUUGGGACUGCAUUUGAAACUGGGAGUCUAGAGAUCAGGAGAGGUUAGCGGAAUACCGAGUGUAGAGGUGAAAUUCGUAGAUAUUCGGUGGAACACCAGUGGCGAAGGCGGCUAACUGGACUGAUACUGACGCUGAGGUGCGAAAGUGUGGGGAGCAAACAGGAUUAGAUACCCUGGUAGUCCACACCCGUAAACGAUGAGUGCUAGUUGUCUGCAGGCAUGCCUGUAGGUGACGCAGCUAACGCAUUAAGCACUCCGCCUG
rnacentral:rRNA from 1 species